GGUUAAUUACCAGUUAUGAAAUUAAUACAUAUAUACAAGGGCAAUUUUUAAGUUUUUUAUAUACGUAUAUUCGUCAAGAAAACUAUACUUUUCCGAAAACUCGUUAUGUGAUGUGAUGUCACACCGGUGAUAUUUGCAUAUGAAACAAAGUUGAGUAUCUUGAAAAGGGAGCAACUUACCAAAAUUCUAUAAAAGAAGUUAUUAAGUCAUUUUAAGUGAUCUUUACAAUGCAACCAUAAAUCUUUGGGGUGAAAUUUCGUGUCAUAGGCGCUUUAGGUCGGAAGAAAUCAACAUAAAUUCAGCCAGCAGAAAUCAUGUCUUUCACUUUGAACCACAUAGUCCAGUA